AGAAAGUUUGAUUCUUGUUUAAAUUUUAACAUUAUGGUUAAAAAUAUAUGUAAAUUUUUGUGUGGAAGAUUAAUUAUUAAAAAUAAAUGGUUAUAAAAAGUCGCAGUAUUUAGUAUUAAAUAUAAAUUGAGGUUUGAUUUGGUAACUAUAACAACUCUGAUUAAAUUUUGUGCCAGCAUUCGCGGUUAGACUUAGAGGGUAAGUUAAAAUAUAUUUGGUUUUUAGUUAAUAUGGUGAAGUAGGAGUUUGUUUUAAUAAUAGGUGAAAUUAGUUAAUUAAAAUAAAAGUAAGAUUGUAGAAGUAUGAGGCUAAAAAGAUUAAGAGAUAAACUAGGAUUAGAUACCCUAUUAUACUUAAUUUAAAAGUUUAAAGCUAAAAUAUUAAUAGUUAUGUUCUUAAAAUUUAGAGAAUUUGGCGGUGUUUUAGUCUGUUUAGAGGAACCUGUUUCGUAAAUGAUACACCUCAAAAUAUCUUACUUGCUUUAAGAGUUUGUAUACCGUCAUUAUUAGAUAAUUUUUAUAGAAAAAAUUAUUACAAUAAGUUUUUUAGUAUAUUAGAUCAAGGUGCAGCUUAUAGGUAAGUGAAAAUGGGUUACAAUAAUAUUUAUUUAUAACGGAUUAAGUUUUGAAAUAAAAUUAUGAAGGUGGAUUUAAUUGUAAUAUAAGUUUAAUAAGCUUGUGUGAUAUUAGCUCUAAAUUAUGUACAUAUUGCCCGUCGCUUUCAUUAUCAAAAUGAGAUAAGUCGUAACAUAGUAGUUAUACUGGAAAGUGUAUCUAGUUAUAA
rnacentral:ncRNA from 1 species